AUCAUUUGAUGUUACCUGGGUAUAGACGUUGACACACGAGCAUAGUUUACAUCAGCCACUAUAAUCAUUACUGUCCCAACAGGAGAGAAAGUGUUUAGGUGACUGGCAACACUCCAUGGAGGUAACAUUAAAUGGUCCCCAGCCAUGAUGUGAGCCCUGGGUUUCAUCUUCCUUUUCACAGUCGGUGGGCC